rnacentral:tRNA from 3 species
UAUAUUUUAGUGUAUGAAGCACUAAGAAUUUUGAUUUCUUAAGAUUUAGUUUAAUUCUAAAAAAUAUAA